CGUCCGUUGGCCAUCGUCCGCUCCGGGCGAGUCGUGUCCGAGCUGGGCUGCGGGGCUGAGGUGGAGUUAGCUAUGCCGUGAGGAGCUGUGCGGCCUUCUGAGCGCCGUUUAACCUACAGCAAGCUGUGCCUGUAAGAGCUGCUCUCAAAGAUGAGAUGGAGCCCGAGGAUCUGCGAGAGGGCUCUGAGAAAGCAGGGGCAGAAGAAGGAAGGAGCGGGAAUGCUGUGCACAUCUGUGGGUGUUCUGGAAGCGCUGAGCUCUGGGUUUUCCACAGAAAUGUGGAGGAUGCUGGCUGUGUUUCUUGUUCACACUCAUCUGGUGGUGCAGAAGACUGGACAGUAGGUUUGAACGGCUCCCCCAGCAAGACUUCAGGUAGGGAAUUUUGUCCCAUAGUGUCCAGUGCCCAGCCCCAGGCAGUGGCAGAGAUGGGGACGUGCUGGGGAGACCGUGGCUUUGUGUUGCUGAAGUCUCAGCAUCCUCUUCUUUACUGUUUUCUAGGCCAAGAUUUGCUGGACUCUGCAGGGACAUUGAAUUGCUCCAACCAUAUGGGCAUUGCAGCAUUAAAGGAGAAAAUAUGCCAGCUGAGACAACGCAUACAGAAAGCAAACAACUAUGCUCAGGAUCCACCUGAAGAAAUCAAAGCUAUCUAGCAGCCCAUGUUCCAGAAUUUCCUGCCCUUUGGAAAGAAAGCUUCAGCCAGAAGAAAUCUGGCAUCUGAAAGAUAUUUUCACAGUGUUUGUUUGGUGAUGAAAAUGGCCCCACCAGUCAGAGUGAAAAGGUGACGUCCUCUAUUCUACAUUUAUUGUUUCACGUGUAUAAUUUUUUCUGUAAUCUAAAAAACACAGCUGUUCAGGUGAAGUUAAUUUAGAUCUUGAAACCUCUGCACUGAGACACUGUAAGGGAUUCAGGGUGAUGUGAUAAGAAAUGCUGAUUUCAGGCACUUGGCUGAGACCCUCUUCGUUCCUUUCCCUCUAACACCAGUUGUCCUCUCAGGAUUGCUGCUGUUUACCUGGUACCCCAGGACAGGGUAUGUGAGAAGGCUCCAUCUGUCCUGCCCAAGCCGUAGGUUUUGAGUGAAUAGACCAAGGAAAGCAGUCAGUUGGCUCUGCUUUGAAAUGUCUGCUUUUUCUCUGUACAGGUGAGAAUAGGAAGGGACGACAUCCAGGACUGUUGUGUGGGAAGAGGUACACUCUAGAAGGUGGAUUUUGCCCCUUUUGCUCCAAGGCUCCAGAACCUCCCAAGUUCACAAUGCCAGAAUCUUUGGUCCUUUCUAAGAAAUCAUGAAUCAGCAGGUUUGUUGGUAGGAGCUGUCUGACUGCAAGGCAGCAUCCUUCGGGCCUCCUGUAGUCUGUGCUGCCUUCACUGGAGCACUGUUUGUGAAAUGGCUCAGGCUGCAGGGCUCUGUUACAGAGUUUGCUCUGAGGGUUUGUGCAGAACUGAAGACAAGGAUUGCUAAAUAGGAAGCAGUUUUAUUUGCUUUGGGUAACUCCUACCCCACUUCCAGAGGAGGGGCAGAAGGAUCUGUUCUGAGGUACUCACAGCUCCUGUAGCCAAACCUCAGGAACUUGUCCUGGUAGGAAAAGCUGUAAGAAAAAAGGGAGGAGUACAUUGUUUUCAGGCUAUUGAUUUCAGCUAAUUUUCUGGGGGGAGAAAAAAGUAUUGUUGGCUAAUGUGUGCUUUUACUAACCACAGAUGGACAGAGCUGCCACUUCAAGUCCAGGUCUGAAAUUGUUGGUGUAGUGGCCUAACAGUGAUGACCAGAAAAGGUAGAAGGUUCAGUUGUGGUGGAUGGUCCAGGCUGGUUUUGAGCAGACAAGGCAUUAUUUCCUCCCUGGCAAAAGGGGAAGAAAUCACUGCCCCAGCUCUGUGACAUGCCUUUCCUGUUAGUUUCAGCCAGUGGAUGGUUUGUGUUCUUUGUACUGAACUGUGGAGGUUUCUGUAACUCCCUUCAGAGUGGUAACUACAUCAGUAAGCCUGAAGCAGGCUUCUCAAGAUUGGUCUUUGCUACCUGCAGUGACAGCUUUUGGUAGCUGUUAUCUCUCUGCAUCGCACACAAACCGUCCCAAAGAAGUGACAGGGGAAGGUGUUGGUCAAUGUUAAGGCAGGUAUGGCUUUUGGUUUAGAACUUCAGGCUUUCUGUGGCACUUCUCAGAUGGGCAAACUUAGUUCCCAAUGGUGUGUAGGUCAGCUUUAAUAGUGCUGGAUCAGCUUGGCACCAAAAACAGGACAAUUUCGUCUCAACCUCAUAUACUUGUUUUAAUCGUAUGCUUGUUAACAUAUGAUAAUAAACCAUGCACAGGAAAUUUA